rnacentral:rRNA from 1 species
UGGGGAAUCUUGCACAAUGGGGGAAACCCUGAUGCAGCGACGCCGCGUGAGCGAUGAAGGUUUUCGAAUCGUAAAGCUCUGUCCUAUGGGAAGAUAAUGACGGUACCAUGGGAGGAAGCCCCGGCUAACUACGUGCCAGCAGCCGCGGUAAUACGUAGGGGGCGAGCGUUGUCCGGAAUUACUGGGCGUAAAGGGUUCGCAGGCGGCAUGGCAAGUCCGAUGUAAAAGGCGAAGGCUCAACCUUCGUAAGCAUUGGAAACUGUCAGGCUUGAGUGGAGGGGAGGCAAGUGGAAUUCCUAGUGUAGCGGUGGAAUGCGUAGAUAUUAGGAAGAAUACCGGUGGCGAAGGCGACUUGCUGGACUUCAACUGACGCUGAGGAACGAAAGCGUGGGUAGCAAACAGG